rnacentral:rRNA from 1 species
UACGAAGGGGGCUAGCGUUGUUCGGAAUUACUGGGCGUAAAGCGCAUGUAGGCGGCGAUUCAAGUCGGGGGUGAAAUCCUGAGGCUCAACCUCAGAACUGCCUUCGAUACUGCAUUGCUAGAGUAUGGAAGAGGUAGGUGGAAACUGCAAGUGUAGAGGUGAAAAUUCGUAGAUAUUUGCAAGAACACCAGUGGCGAAGGCGGCCUACUGGUCCAUCACUGACGCUGAGAUGCGAAAGCGUGGGGAGCAACAGGAUAAGAAACCCUGAGAGUACCAGUCA